rnacentral:lncRNA from 1 species
GUGAGGAAGUGGAGAGAGAGAGAGUGAGUUUGGACAAUUAUUUCUGGAAGUCUGGCCGAGAAAAGAAGGCAUGAGGAGCUAGUAGAUAAGUGAAUGAUUCAGCAGAGAGAGAGACUGCUCCCUAAAAAGGAAUCUCUAGAAAGCUGGAAGAGGAUAAGAACCAAAGCACCACAGAAGUUAGCCUUCAACAGAAUGACAAGCCUUGUAACUGGACGAGAGGAGGAAAGGCCACAUACAGAUCAAAUGGAGGGCUCUCUUUCCAAUGAGAACAGACACUGAAAUAAAGAGGGCCCUUAGCCGGGUGUGGUGGCUCACACCAGUAAUCCCAGCACUUUGGGAGGCCAAGGCAGGAAGAUCACUUGAGCCUAGGAGUUUUGAGACCAGCCUGGGCAACAUAGGGAGACCUUAUCUCUACAAAAUAAAUAAAUAAAUAAAUAAGGCCCUGCAGGGGCCGGUGCUAUUAUUUUUAAAAGGAGGGUAUAGCUUUUACCACAUAGUAUUGAACUAGGUGCUCACCCUGUUUGCCCUGAAAUGGAAAAGCUGUCUGGGAUAGAAACGUUCAUUAUCUUGACUGCAGUGGUUUCACCAGCAUAUGCUCAUGUUAAAACUCAUCAAAUUGUACCCUUUAAGUAGGACAAUUUAUUGUAUAACAAUUAUACCUCAAUAAAGCUGGUUGUUAUUGCGGGGAGGACUGUUUUGUUUUAUUUUGGUUUUUUUCUUACUCUUUGUUUUUGUUGUUGUUUUUAA